rnacentral:lncRNA from 1 species
UGUGCAUGAGUAUAGUAGUGAUCAAGUGAACGGAUAAGUGCAGAGACCCGUACAUGCUUGUGUUGUGGAUGUGUAGUACCUGCAUGUGUGUGGCACUGUAGUGCCUGUUAGAGCAGGUAGUGAAUCUGAUGGCACUAGCGAAUCGCUGGUGAGAGCCUGUGAAUAAAAGUGAGACUCGUAGUAGAAAUGGUAGUAGCUGACCAACUCUCAAAGGAAUGCGAGUUGCUGAUUGCGAGAGUCUAGUCGCAAUGUCCGUGGAACUCGUGUAAGACCGAGUAUCUUGUAGGUUGUUCUAGUAGAUCGAACAGUGAAAGUGGAGUCACUGUUGCGUCUGGUACGUGCACGUGGACCUAACAAUACCUCGAAUUGAGGUCAAUGGGUCGUGCUCGUGUAGUUGAGUGCAUAGGCAAGAGUUGCCUGAUGCUAGACUUAAUAUAGCACGCGAUAGAGUCUUGUAGAACGCUCGAGUGUUGGUGCUCAUAGAGUGCAGAUUUGUUUCAGCCGUGAGUGUAUUGGCAGUAGCACUUUAGCGUUGCUAAGUGUGAAGCGUGCCAGAGGUCACUCGUAGGGCUGGUGGCUCGCACUAGGUGCGUAGGAGCCGAUAGUGGUAUGUGUGCUCGAUAGAGAGUGUCGGGUGAGACGACGUUUGCGGGUAGUGCUUGGCGACGAUCCGUGCCUGGACCACUUGUGGACUGUGGAGCCUGGACCCAUUGGGUAGGCGCAGUCAGCUGUGAGAGACAGCGGCCCGAUACCUGCAGGUAGGGCGGAAAGUUUUGGUCAGGACGGUAGUCCGAGCAUAGACCCGAGUACGUGGAAUGCCACGUGGUGGAUCGUGAAAUCGGUAAUGCACUAAGAGUGCGGUUGUGACCCAACCCGAGGACUUGGCGUGGUUUGGGGUCUUAGUUGCUCCUGGUUGGAGUAUGUGUGAAUUCUCCAAUGAGAAUUUCGCCCAAUAAUGAUAAUUGGGUCUCCGCUUGUGCGCGAGAGACGUUGAGUUAAGUUGAACAGAUUUGAGGUAAUUGAGACAAAUAGUUUACCCAUGUGCAUGUCCAAGUGAAGGAUAGUGUAUUGGGACUGUGAGAGCGAAGGCUCGGUCCUAUGGAUUAAUGAGUCAGAAUUGCUAAAAUAAGCAUCGAUGACGAAUUGAGAUUGGAAAUGCGAACAAAGUACUCGUAGAGACUGAUUUGGAGAAAUCAGUAUACUCUGGAAUGAAGUUGAGAAGCUUUGGAAUAGUGUUGGAAUUUAUCUCCAUCCGUUAAGCAAUGAGGAGUAAUAAGUAUCUAAGUUUCUCGGACGAAACUUUUGUUAACGGGAGGAGAAUGUAACAUAUGGAAACUUGGAAUUGCGAUGUCAACUUUGACCUAGAGGGUCAAAGUGACGAUUGAACUAGUUGGACAGAAUCCCCGAGUGAUUUGUGAUGCGUGUGAAUGAAUUCUGGAGAUAAAUAAGUGUUUCGGCGCAAAUUGGGCGCGAAACGAAAUGUAAAGAGAGUAAAGAGAAUUUUCAGAUUUCCGACGCUAACUUUGAUUAAAAGAAGUAAAGUAAGGCGUAAGGAUAAAUUGUGAUAUCUCCGAAUCAAUUGUGAAGUUUUGGAAAAGCCAAGGGUGUGCUUUCAAAGGGUUUUGAAGUGUUCAGUGCGAAGUGGUAGUGCAAAAAGGAGAAAUUUCUGCCGUGUAAUGAAAUUGGAGCCGAUUCUAUUGCUAAUUCGGCUCAAAUAAUGUCAAAAUGAAAAGGAAUUGCUUCCAAAUUAAAUUGGUAGCUUAUGAAGGUCCCUUGGUAUAUUUUGGAAGUGUUUGGGUGAAAUCAGAGCGAAAACAGAAAAUUUAAAAUUUUCUGUAAAGAACGGGACUGAGAAAAUUAGCAGAAAAUGCACAGUGUCAGAAAAUUAUGAAAAUUGGCAGAGAUGUCAGGAACAUUUUUAUGAGGCUAUAUUUGAAGUUUCAGAUUUUUCUGACACCUGUAGAGAGAGAAAUAGCAUUUGGAAGUUAUCUGAUAAAGAUUACAGUUCGGGACAGUUCGCAGUGACCAAACGGGGUCGAAACUGAAAUAUUAAAAUUUCAGUGGACUUGUUAAGUAAAAACGAACAUUCCUGUCAAAUUUGAGCUCAAUCG